AGCCCACAUCCUGGCAGACCAGGGCAGCUGGUGAGGUUGACCGUCAGCCUUGUCAAAGGACCAUGUCAAGAGCACACAGUGCCAUGCUGGCCGGGGGACCUGCAUUCACCACCAAGCCCAGCUGGGAUGCAGGUUUUUAAGUGUCGCUAACCAAGGCUUCGACCAGACAUCAUGACCAGAAGCAGAUCAGGGGAGAAAUGUUUACUGGGAUUACAAUUCAGUCUGAGCAACUGAGACUGUCCCGAGGAGACCUGGGACAGGUCAGGAGAGUGUUCUGAGAACCCCUGAGAGCUGUCUUCGAAGCGGCCGAGCUGGGCAGGUGAGGCCUGCAGGCAAGAGGAAGCCGGGUAGAUUUGAGAUAAUGAAAUCUGGACUCCACUGGGAGAUCCCAGGCAGGCCCUGCCACCUGAUCCUACCACACUGCCCCUCUGUCCAAGACCCUAAAGCGAAGGGCACCAGCCAUGGACUGGAGCCUCUAUAAAUACAGGAGGGGAUUAGACAGUUUGAGUGACCACGCCAGCAAACAAUCACAGUACACCGUUCUAACGGCACAGAUAAAACAAUUCACAUCACUGAUACAGGUUCCCCUCUCUCAGGUGACUGGAGCUCGCGUUAAGUCAAUGUACAACUGGCCAACGUAGUCUGAAAUCAUUUUGA
rnacentral:sRNA from 1 species